rnacentral:rRNA from 1 species
GACGAACGCUGGCGGCGUGCUUAACACAUGCAAGUCGAACGAUCUCGAGACUUCGGUCUCAAUGAGAUAGUGGCGAACGGGUGAGUAACACGUGAGAAACCUGCCCCGGAGAUUGGGAUAACUCGAGGAAACUCGUGCUAAUACCAAAUGUCUUCCGACCAUCGCAUGGUGGACGGAAGAAAUGGUCCGCCGCUCUGGGAGGGUCUCGCGGCCUAUCAGCUUGUUGGUGAGGUAACGGCUCACCAAGGCAUCGACGGGUAGCUGGUCUGAGAGGACGAUCAGCCACACUGGGACUGAGACACGGCCCAGACUCCUACGGGAGGCAGCAGUGGGGAAUCUUGCGCAAUGGGCGAAAGCCUGACGCAGCAACGCCGCGUGAGGGAAGACGGCUCUAGGGUUGUAAACCUCUUUCAGCAGGGACGAAAUUGACGGUACCUGCAGAAGAAGCGCCGGCCAACUACG